GGCGGAGGAUGCAAGUGUUAUCCGGAAUCACUGGGCGUAAAGCGUCUGUAGGUGGUUCGAAAAGUCCACUGUUAAAAAUUGAGGCUUAACUUCAAAGAUGCCGUGGAAACUUUCAAACUAGAGUAUGGUAGGGGUAGAGGGAAUUUCCAGUGGAGCGGUGAAAUGCGUAGAUAUUGGAAAGACCACCGAUGGCGAAGGCACUCUACUGGGCCAUUACUGACACUGAGAGACGAAAGCUAGGGGAGCAAAUGGG
rnacentral:rRNA from 1 species